AUUGAACGCUGGCGGCAGGCCUAACACAUGCAAGUCGAACGGUAACAGGAAGACGCUUGCUUCUUUGCUGACGGGUGGCGGACGGGUGAGUAAUGUCUGGGAAACUGCCUGAUGGAGGGGGAUAACUACUGGCAACGGUAGCUACUACCGAAUAACGUCGCAAGACCAAAAAGGGGGACCUUCGGGCCUCUUGCCAUCGGAUGUGCGCAGAUGGGAUUAGCUAGUAGGUGGGGUAACGGCUCACCUAGGGGACGAUCCCUAGCUGGUCUGAGAGGAUGACCAGCCACACUGGAACUGAGACACGGUCCAGACUCCGACGGGAGGCAGCAGUGGGGAAUAUUGCACGAUGGGCGCAAGCCUGAUGCAGCCAUGCCGCGUGUAUGAAGAAGGCCUUCGGGUUGUAAAGUACUUUCAGCGGUGAGGAAGGGAGUAAAGUUAAUACCUUUGCUCAUUGACGUUACCCGCAGAAGAAGCACCGGCUAACUCCGUG
rnacentral:rRNA from 1 species